rnacentral:rRNA from 1 species
CCUACGGGAGGCAGCAGUGAGGAAUAUUGGUCAAUGGGCGCGAGCCUGAACCAGCCAAGUCGCGUGAGGGAUGAAGGUUCUAUGGAUCGUAAACCUCUUUUAUAAGGGAAUAAAGUGUGGGACGUGUCCUAUUUUGUAUGUACCUUAUGAAUAAGGAUCGGCUAACUCCGUGCCAGCAGCCGCGGUUAUACGGAGGAUCCGAGCGUUAUCCGGAUUUAUUGGGUUUAAAGGGUGCGUAGGCGGCCUUUUAAGUCAGCGGUGAAAGUUUGUGGCUCAACCAUAGAAGUGCCGUUGAAACUGGGGGGCUUGAGUAUGUGAGAGGCAGGCGGAAUGCGUGGUGUAGCGGUGAAAUGCAUAGAUAUCACGCAGAACGCCGAUUGCGAAGGCAGCAUACCAAGCCAUGACUGACGCUGAUGCACGAAAGCGUGGGGAUCGAACAGGAUUAGAUACCCGAGUAGUC